rnacentral:rRNA from 1 species
CCUACGGGAGGCAGCAGUGAGGAAUAUUGGUCAAUGGGCGUAAGCCUGAACCAGCCAAGUCGCGUGAGGGAUGAAGGUUCUAUGGAUCGUAAACUUCUUUUAUAAGGGAAUAAAGUGUGGGACGGGUCUUAUUUUGUAUGUACCUUAUGACUAAGGAUCGGCUAACUCCGUGCCAGCAGCCGCGGUAAUACGGGGGAUCCGAGCGUUAUCAGGAUUUAGGUGGUUUAAAGGGUGCGUAGUCGGCCUUUUAAGUUAGCGGUGAAAGUUUGUGGCUAACCCAUAGAAUUGCCGUUGAAAUGGGGGGCUUGAGUGUAGUUGAGGCAGGCGGAAUGCGUGGUGUAGCGGUGAAAUGCUUAGAUAUCACGCAGAACCCCGAUUGCGAAGGCAGACUGCCAAGCCAUGACUGACGCUGAGGCACGAAAGCGUGGGGAUCAAACAGGAUUAGAUACCCGAGUAGUC